GUGGAAUGUAUUUAUAGCAACGAUGGGAAAUAGAAUGGUGCGGAAACCAGAUCCCGGCCGUUGAAUUGACGAACCAGGUUUUUGACUGAAUGUCUUCUUCUUUUCUUUUUUAAUUUUAUUCUAAUUUCAUAAGCACUUUUUAGCUUUUUUCUCAGAAAUUAAUUGCUAAUAGAUAAAUAACAACCUUUCUCAAUAAUUCAGUGUUAAGAUCGUGAAUCCCAAAUCCGUGAUUCAUGACGUCAUAAUCUUACGGAGAAAAGUCAGAUAUAUCAGAUCUGUAUUUUCAAAUUUACAUAAGAAAAUUAAUUUAACUUAUUAUAGUUUUUUUAUAACAAAAUUACAUAAUAUAUUAUCGGUUACAUUAUAAUGAAAAAUAAGAAAAACAACGUUAAAAUGAUUUCAUUUAUUAUAAAAAAAAUGGAUUUCUAAAUCAGAUAUUUCUAUUUUCGAAUUUUUACGGGAGUUUUAAAUAUUUUAUUUUUCAAUAUUUUAAAAUGGGGAGAAGUGGAGAACGUGAAUAACUAAAUAAGAAGGUAAACAAAUUUAAAAAAUGUUUGUUGUUCUUGUUUUACUUACUUUUUUUAUUAAAAUUUUAGAUUCAAAAAAUGAUCUCUGUUGACACUUGACACGUCUACCACUACAAAAAAAAUGAUCCAUACCGAUUUCAGAUCAAACUCAACCAUUGAUGAAAACAAUCAAAAGGAAGAAGAAACAGAUUUCGGUAGUUAAAAAUUAUACAGUUAAAUCGGUAGAAACAAGAUCGUGAAUAAAAAGAGACUCAGAUUUGCCAGAAAUAGUGGCGAUUGGUUGCCAUCAACUGUCUAUCUAGGAUCACCAUCAACACGCCACCAAAGGUACCUAACAAUUAACAUGUACCAAAUCUGGAAUCCACUGUUUUCGUGGAAACAUCAGUCACAAAGUGGACGGCGAUCCAUCGUCAUUGCCUGCUUAGAAGAGGAGAAAGAGAAGGAAGAAGACGAUGACAAUGACAUUAAGAAUCAUCGGCAUUUCUGGCGGACAGAAAGAGGCGGCGGAAACCAAGAUCGAACUUCCACCAAAACCUUCGACUGUCGUCACCAGAAAACUCAUUACUUAAAACAGAC
rnacentral:lncRNA from 1 species